CCCAUCUCUCCUCCUGAUGCUGCCCUCCAGCCUCCACCCAAGAUUCCAUGGUGCGCCUGGUUGCCGCUCCGUCUGGCCGGCCGGGAGGUGCGUGCAAGCUACAUCAUGAAUCAGGAGAGCCGCAUGCCAUCAUCUUCUCAUGGAUCUUCCUCGGCUCCGGCUCUGUCCCUGGCCUCCAAGGCGGAUACAUGGUGGUGGCCUUCCCAUGGUCCAAGGUGGCACGCCCGCAGUUGGCGCUGGAUAGCUCGCUGCCCUGCCGCUCUCCAUCCUAAUCGACUCCCCUCGGUCUUCCCCAACUUCGGCCCCGGCAAUAGGCAUUGCGUGCAUGUCUAUGCCGAGGACACAAAUUUGGGGGUCCAGCUCCUUGUGUGAAUGUGCAAGGAAUUCGGAACCUGCAUCUUUAAUAUGACAUGCUGACAUGCAGAGGAAAUGGUAC